rnacentral:tRNA from 1 species
AGUGUGUUGGCAGAAUAGUGCAAUUGACUUAGGAUCAAUUUAUGGUGAUAAGCCACACACUA